CAGCCCAUCGCAACCUUGAUUCCUUUCUUCCCCACCACCAUUGCAAGGCAACUCUUUCUUCACCGUUGCCGCUGUUUCCCCGGCUGCUCGACCACUGUCGCUACUUCUCCCUGGCUAGCGACUUUCGACCACCACUCGACCUCCUUGCUACCCCAUCUCGUUCAAAAAAAAAAAAAAAAAAAAAGAAGAAACAAGAGAGGAAGAAGAAGCCGCAGCCACCCCUGCGUCCCCUUCUUUCGGCCAGCCCACCCGCCGCUGCUGCUCUCCGGCCAGCGCCCACCAUUGCCCCGCUUCCCGACUAGAGGCCACCGCCGCCCACCUCCCCUUGGGUCGCAACCGCAGCUGCCGGUUGUCGCCCUCCUCGUGGUGAUCGAAACAGGGC
rnacentral:lncRNA from 1 species